CUUAAGUAACGUAAAUAACAUUUAAACUUUACAAUAGCGCUCAGGAACUUGUAAAUUUAAUUUUAAUAUCUAUAAGUAUGUACCACGCGCGCGCGAUAUGGUUUAAAUAUGGCGGCAACCUUCCCACCACUCGUUUUUUAGUUCGUUAUUUCCGCUGGUGCUCCAGGCGGCGCUGAAAAUAGCGUUCCCCUUCUCACAAGAGGUGAGUUUGAACCCCCUGUUUUAGCUUGUUAGGUUAAUCGACGCAAUAGCGUCCUAACGUUAAGUGAUUGGAAUUGUAAUAAUUUACUUUCGACGUAUUUUUGAAUAGAUAAUAGAAAAAUAAGUGUCAUGAGAUUUCAGCUAUUACACAACAUAACCGUUAAUGUGCAUCAUUAUAUUAAUAUCCAAUAGGACGCUCGUUUUAGAUGAUCUGUGAUGUAACUUAACAUCUCAGUGAUAAUUACAAAAUAUUCGGCACAAUGAUGGCAACAGAUCGUAUCGAUACUACUCUGUCGUUUCCAAUAAAGAAAGAACAAGAUUGCAAUAACAGUCACGACGAUAGCGAUAUGAGCACUGAUGACAGUGAUGACAGUCCCUUUUCGAUGCCCUUGCCAUUGAUUUCUACAAAUAAUCCUGUCAUAAAUAGUGGAUCACUAUCACCCAACAGUGAGUCUAUAUGUAUUACUGAAAUGGUUCGUGCUGUAUAUUUGUCAUAUCUUCACAAAUGUUUACUUAGUAAUUAUAUAACUUAUUAUGGACAAAGCAAUAAAAAUGUACGAAAUAUUGAGGUAAAAAAAUGUGCAGAUCAUAUGGAACUAAAAGCUAUCCACUUUGCAUUAGAAUCCAGUUUAUAUAGAAAAAACAUGCUGAAAAUGAUUACGGAUAUAAAAUCGCACACUGUUGAGAAGAAAAUAUACAAAAAGUUAUUAAUAUUUUUAGAAGCACCUAAGGACAAAAUUGAUAUCGCUGUGCAAACAGAUGAUAGAUUGGUGGAUUCACAUGGAACAGAUAAUAUACAAAGUGUGUGUAUUACAUCUAACUCUGAGGAAAUGUUGCAAGAAACAUCACCCAUUGUAAAUUCUACCAAUUUUGUUGAAAACGAAAAUGUCACACAGGAACUUGACAAUGAGAUGGAUAUACAAAUGUCUCACAAUGAAGAUGGAUAUACAAAUGUCUCACAAUGAAGAUCUUGUGAAAGAAAUAUUUAAUGAUUCUAGUCAAAUAAUUGAGAAUAGGAAUGAUUCUCAAGCGAUGAUUAACGCAAUUGCAAUAAAAAAUGAUGACAAUUCACAAGAUUCGAUAUUACAACAUAUGGAGGAUAUGUUUUGUGAGAGCGACGAUAGCAGCGAUCUUACGAAAUUAAUAGAAAAGUAUUCUGGUGUUAAUAAAGCUAAUGUUGAUAAAGAAAUCAAUGAUAUAUAUUUAAAUGCCGAUACUAUCGCGAGUCUGCAUGUAUCACAAGAUAACAAAAUAUCGAAUAUAACUAAUAAUGUAUCUAACGCGGCAAAAAGAAAUACGAGUGAGGGUAAAGUCAGUUACAGUCGCUAUAAAGAAAUGCGAAAUAAGAGAAUCAAUAAACCAGAGGAAUUGAAUGAGAACGAAAUAAUUGAUGUAAAAAGCUUAAAACAGAAAGAGAGGUUAAAUGCUGUUUGGCUGGUAGAACGUGUGCAUCAAGUAUCGAGACUGAAAGUGAUAAUGACUGAAUUAUCAUUGAGCGAUUACCGAAAGUACGGUAGGUUAAAGGAAAAAUUCCUUCAGCUAUUUGGAGAAUCUGACGAAGAGGAAAUGAUACCGGACUCACCAAUCUGUAUAGAAGAACAUUUAGCGGCAUGUAAAGAAAGAAUAGCACCUUGGAUUGUGAAGUACCUAAUGCCUUUCUAUAAAAAAAGGAGAAUUAAGGAUCGGCAACUUUUCAAAGCUGUCGCAAAAUAUAUCGCGGAUAUGCUCAUCAUAAAUAACACAUUUCCUGAACAAGAAUGUGUGAGCAAGUACAUAAACGACUACUUCAGGAACAAGAAAUAUAUUAAAACCAAGCAAGAUAUAUAAUGUAACGAGUUAUUGGUGUGAUUAUUGAUUCUGUUAUGUAAUACAAGCCAGUAAAAUGUAGGCAUCGUAUUCUGAUGUAAAUCUCUGUAUGGUGUAAGAUUCUGAGACAUUUGAUCUAUAGGUAUAUGUAGAUACACCGUAUAUAAAUAGACGUAUAUAAUUCCUGCCUAACAAUUAUGGCCGAGUAAAGACAAUGGCUACAUUCAGCAGAAAAGUUGCUUUGCAACUGUUGUAAGAUUCGCAAAUUUGAUUAAUGCGUGCUCUUGGACUCAGCUAAAUUUGAGAGCAUAUGCCAAUUAGAUUUACGAAUUUUACAACAGUUGUAAAGCAGCUUGAAUGCAACCAAUGUUUGCAAGUAGAAAACAGCUCACGGGAGAGAGAGGGGGAUAUUUUAACGUUUAGAGUUGGGACAUUGCGAAAAACAGACUUCUCCAUUUAACAAAAAAAAAAAAUUAGCGAAAAUAUAGAGACAUAUAACGACAAUUUUUAUUCAAUGUAAAUAUAUACGAGUGUGUUUGUGCAAAAUGUAAAGUUGCCAUAACAGUCACACUAUCAGAAAGUGCUUAUAUUCUAGCAUUUAAAAAUCUUACCUGCGACAGAAAUUAAAAUUUAUUGUUGUAACAAUGUAAUUAAUGUAGUAAAUAAUUAAAUGACUUGUGUUAUGAGUAAAGUCUCUCUAAUAAGGAGAAGUCACGUCGUGAAUUAGAGUUUGUGUCGCAAUAUGAAAUCGAGAUCCCCGGCAUACAAAUGUGAUCGGACAAAAUGACAAUGAGAUAUCAAGUACAAUUAAUAGUUUUACUGUUGACUUUAAUAAUAAUAGAUACAAUAUAGAACGAUAAUAAAACAAAAUGAUCACGAUACUAAUGAUGAUGGCAAUGACGAUGAUUAUAGUAAUAAUAUAAUAAUAAUAAUAAUAAUAAUAAUAAUGUACUAGAUAUUCUACAUAUGUAAAAUCAAGAAGUCAUAUACAAUAUGGAGAUUCACAAAGCACCAAACAAGUUCUGAAGUUGCACUUUUGCCAAGGCAAA
rnacentral:sRNA from 1 species